rnacentral:rRNA from 1 species
AACGAACGCUGGCGGCAUGCCUAACACAUGCAAGUCGAACGAGACCUUCGGGUCUAGUGGCGCACGGGUGCGUAACGCGUGGGAACCUGCCCUUAGGUUCGGAAUAACUCCCCGAAAGGGGUGCUAAUACCGGAUAAUGUCUUCGGACCAAAGAUUUAUCGCGUUUGGAUGGGCCCGCGUUGGAUUAGCUAGUUGGUAGGGUAAAAGCCUACCAAGGCGACGAUCCAUAGCUGGUCUGAGAGGAUGAUCAGCCACACUGGGACUGAGACACGGCCCAGACUCCUACGGGAGGCAGCAGUGGGGAAUAUUGGACAAUGGGCGAAAGCCUGAUCCAGCAAUGCCGCGUGAGUGAUGAAGGCCGUAGGGUUGUAAAGCUCUUUUACCCGGGAUGAUAAUGACAGUACCGGGAGAAUAAGCCCCGGCUAACUCCGUG